rfam:Klebsiella pneumoniae subsp. pneumoniae DSM 30104 Contig00018, whole genome shotgun sequence.
CUUUAAAAAUCUGGAUCAAGCUGAAAAUUGAAACGACACACAGUUAAUGUGUGUUCGAGUCUCUCAAAUUUUCGCAAUCAGAAGUGAAACAUCUUCGG